AAGGGACCUAGCGUAGUUCGGAACUACUGGGCUUAAAGAGUUCGUAGGUGGUUGAAAAAGUUAGUGGUGAAAUCCCAGAGCUUAACUCUGGAACCGCCAUUAAAACUUUUCAGCUAGAGUAUGAUAGAGGAAAGCAGAAUUUCUAGUGUAGAGGUGAAAUUCGUAGAUAUUAGAAAGAAUACCAAUUGCGAAGGCAGCUUUCUGGAUCAUUACUGACACUGAGGAACGAAAGCAUGGGUAGCGAAGAGGAUUAGAUACCCUCGUAGUCCAUGCCGUAAACGAUGUGUGUUAGACGUUGGAAAUUUAUUUUCAGUGUCGCAGGGUAACCGAUAAACACACCGCCUGGGGAGUACGACCGCAAGGUUAAAACUCAAAUGAAUUGACGGGGACCCGCACAAGUAGUGGAGCAUGUGGUUUAAUUCGAAGAUACGCGCAGAACCUUACCAACACUUGACAUGUUCGUCGCGACUCUAAGAGAUUAGAGUCUUCGGUUCGGCCGGACGAAACACAGGUGCUGCAUGGCUGUCGUCAGCUCGUGUCGUGAGAUGUUGGGUUAAGUCCCGCAACGAGCGCAACCCUCACUUUUAGUUGCCAUCAUUAAGUUGGGCACUCUAAAAGAACUGCCAGUGAUAAGCUGGAGGAAGGUGGGGAUGACGUCAAGUCCUCAUGGCCCUUACGUGUUGGGCUACACACGUGCUACAAUGGCAUCUACAAGAGGAAGCAAAACGGCAACGUUAAGCAAAUCCCGAAAAGAUGCCUCAGUUCGGAUUGCACUCUGCAACUCGAGUGCAUGAAGCUGGAAUUACUAGUAAUCGUGGAUCAGCGUGCCACGGUGAAUGCGUUCCCGGGUCUUGUACACACCGCCCGUCACACCAUGGGAGUUGGUUCUACCUUAAGGCAAGGUUUUAAACCCUUGACCACGGUAUAGUCAGCGACUGGGGUGAAGUCGUAACAAGGUAGCCGUAGGGGAACCUGCGGCUGGAUUACCUCCUUUCUAAGGAUGAGUGAAAGUAAAAUUUCACUCUAAAUAAUAUACAUCGGUAAUGUUGACCGUCCUCAUUUCUCUUCUUAAAGUAAUGUUUCCUUCUUGUAGGGCCGGUAGCUCAGUUGGUUAGAGCACACCCUUGAUAAGGGUGGGGUCGAAAGUUCGAGUCUUUCUCGGCCCACCAAAAACCUAAAUGGGGGAUUAGCUCAUCUGGGAGAGCGCCUGAUUUGCAUUCAGGAGGUAGCAGGUUCGAUCCCUGUAUCCUCCACCAGGAAACAUUUAGUUAUUAAAACUGUAAAUAAAAAUAAUUUAUAUCAAUAUCUAUAUCCGAACAUUAAAAGUUAUUAUUUAAUGUUCAAAAUAAAAAUUUGAUCACAACAUAGAUAAAUUUUCUUUAAAAAGAAUUUUUUUCUGUGCAUAAAUCAAGCGUUUAAGGGCGUGUAGUGGAUGCCUUGGCACUGAAAGCCGAUGAAGGACGUGAUAUACUGCGAUAAGUUUCGGGGAGCUGUAUGUAAGCUUUGAUCCGAAAAUUU
rnacentral:sRNA from 1 species